CACAGCCCAGUGCCCUCAGGACUUCUUCAUAGGCUGCUCACACCCUGUGUAGCAGUCAGUCCCAGUCAGCACCCAGCAUGGACAUGAGGACCCCUGCUCAGCUCCUGGGGCUCCUGCUGCUCUGGCUCCCAGGUGCCAGAUGUGACAUCCAGAUGACCCAGUCUCCAUCUUCUGUGGCUGCAUCGCUGGGAGACACAGCCACCAUCAUUUGCAGGGCCAGUGAGAACAUUUACUAUGGUUUAGCGUGGUACCAGCAGCAACCAGGAAAAGCCCCUAAACUCCUGAUCUAUGCUGCAGAUGAAUUGGCAUCUGGGGUCCCAUCCAGGUUCAGUGGCAGUGGAUCUGGCACAGAGUUCACUCUCACCAUUAGCAACCUGCAGCCUGAAGAUAUAGCCACUUAUUACUGUCAACAGAGUAGGAGUUACCCUCCCACAGUGAUACAACUCAUAACAAAAACCUCCCAGGAAAGCAGAAGUGAGAGGCUGGGCUGCCCCAGCUGCUGACAGAGCUUCUCAGAUUCAGCCAGACUUUUGAGGUCACUAGAAA